UCGGGAAGGUGGCCACAGGAGAUCAUGGUGGGUCCUCACCACCCGUCUCCUAAUAUUACCUACAG
rnacentral:miRNA from 1 species